rnacentral:rRNA from 1 species
GCGGAGGAAAAGAAACCAACAGGGAUUGCCUCAGUAACGGCGAGUGAAGCGGCAGCAGCCCAAAUUUGAAAUCUGGCCCCCGGGUCCGAGUUGUAAUUUGGAGAGGAUGCCUCGGUGGGGCCGCCAGUCGAAGUUCCUUGGAACAGGGCGUCACAGAGGGUGAGAAUCCCGUCCGUGGCCGGCGGCCUCCACCGUGCGAGGCUCCCUCGAAGAGUCGAGUUGUUUGGGAAUGCAGCUCUAAGCGGGAGGUACAUUCCUUCUAAGGCUAAAUAUCCACCAGAGACCGAUAGCGCACAAGUAGAGUGAUCGAAAGGUGAAAAGCACUUUGAAAAGAGGGUGACACAGCACGUGAAAUUGUUGAAAGGGAAGCGCUUGCAACCAGAGUUGACCCUCGGGGCUCAGCCCGUCCUCGGACGGGUGCACUCCCCGGGGGCCAGGCCAGCAUCAGCUCGGCCGGCCGGAUAAAGGCCGCGGGAAUGUGGCACCUGCGGGUGUGUUAUAGCCCGCGGCACAAUGCGGCCUCGCCGGGCUGAGGUCAGCGCUCCG